rnacentral:rRNA from 1 species
AGCGAACGCUGGCGGCAGGCUUAACACAUGCAAGUCGAGGGGAGCGGCAGACGGGUGAGUAACGCGUGGGAACGUACCUUUUGGUUCGGAACAACACAGGGAAACUUUUGCUAAUACCGGAUACAGAAAGCUCGGCCCGGGUCUGAUUAGUUAGUUGGUAGGGAACUGGCCUACCAAGGCGACGAUCAGUAGCUGGUCUGAGAGGAUGAUCAGCCACAUUGGGACUGAGACACGGCCCAAACGCCUACGGGAGGCAGCAGUGGGGAAUAUUGGACAAUGGGAGGAACCCUAAACGAGCGAUGCCGAGUGAGUAAUGAAGGCCAUAGGGUUGUAAAGCACUUUUGUGCGGGAAGCGGUACCGCAAGAAUAAGCCCCGGCUAACUUCGUGCCAGCAGCCGCGGUAAUUC